CCCUUCCUUCAGACACAGCAUCUGUUGAUUCUAUUUGUGACUUCUAACAGUUCUGCUAGUGGGCUGAAGGUGGUGGCAGCCUGAAUGUAGGUGACUGUCUGUAGAUCAUUGCCAAGGGCAAGCAGGCACGGGGAGGAAAAAGACUCAAAAAGACUUAAAGCAAGGUCAAGGCCAUGGACAAUGAAGGAAUUUGUUUUGCUCGACUCUGCAGAUCGGAUGGGAAAUAAUGAACUGGAGGAAUUCCACGUGAACUGGAACGACCUCCAGGAAGUGAUGCAGAGUGAAAGGAACAUAACGAGGACAUUGUACAUAGAGACGGAUACACUGUGGCACAAUCGAAUGUAAUGGACUUCUCUACUAGUGGCAAUGAUCCAGAACAUAUCUGAGGGACUUAUGAGAAAGAACACUAUCCACAUUCAGAAGAAGAACUGUGGGAGUGGAAAUGCAGAAGAUAAACAACUCCUUCAUUACCUGGGUUGAUGGGGAUAGGAUUGGGGAUGUAGACUCUAAAGGAUCACCCUGGUGCAAAUAUUAAUAAUAUGGAAAUAGGUCUUGAUCAAUGACACAUAUAAAGCCCAGUAGAAUUGCUCGUAAGCUCCAGGAGGGAGAGGAAAAGAACAUGAAUCAUGGAACCAUGGAAAAAUAUUCUAAAUUAAUUAAAUUAUCUCAGGUCUUGCUGACUUCAUGCCUACUAUUUUGUUCAUGGAUCUGAACCUAUGUCCAGUAUUCUUACUACUGUUUCCUUCCCAUUUCCUUAAGAUAAUUUCUCUCUUUUGAUGAAAUUUGGAAUCUUCAUUCUAAGUUACUUUAAUUAAUAGUAGCAUCUAGUAUUAUAUAACACUUUUGAGUGUGCAAAGUACUUUACAUAAAAUUUACAUUUUGUCAUCACAACAACUCAGCUACUUCUUGGCUUCAUCUUUCCAGUGGCAAUAUGAUCUCCAUUUUGCCAGCCCAAUAGAUUCACUUUUUCUGUCCGAGUCUAGCUUUCAAUUCAUUUAAAGGGAAGGAGUGACUGACUGAUCUUAAGCCCAUUGAAACUCCAAGUCAUUUCCAAUGACCAGAACUAUUCAUUUCCCAAGUAUAGUUGUUGUCGUUUUUAAUUUCCAUUUCCCAAGCAUUUUGUGAUCAUUCAGAAUUCACCAGCUUUGGGAAGAGUGUCUUCCAGAAUCCUUCCAUAAGUUUUAUAAUACAAAUAUAGUAUAAUAAUAUAAUAAAAAUAUAAUGUAAUAUUAUAAUAAUAUAAUGCUUUCAGCCUAUAUUCAGAGAGAUUUCCAUCACAGGAAAGUAAGCAUUUAGUGAUGCCCUCCAACAGAAUAGUCAGUGAUUUCUUACUGAAUGCCAUACUCAGGGUCAUGGACUUCUCCCUUCCCUUCUCCUAUAGCUCUUCCCCCUCCCUAAAGACCCACUAGGUCAGCUCUUCACAGAAUUUUUGUACACGGUGUCUAGUUUAGGAUAUAAACCAUAAAAGAAUCGUACUAUUCAGGCACUGUUAAUUACUUGUCACUUAGUUCUCAAAUCAACAUGCCUAUUUCUUUGUUACACCUUUAAAUAAAAAUAUUAACAAUUAAUAAAAUAGCUAGUAUUCAUCAUGGGCAUCUAAAAUAGGUUUGUUUAAAUGCUCUUUUUCCUCCUUUGAGAGUCUAGGCAAUUUAUACUUUUGUAAGUAUUCUUCUAUUUUGCUUACAGUUAAAUUUGUUGCCAUAUAAUUGGGCAAAAUAACUCCUAAAAAUUGCCUUGAUUUCGUCUUCAGUGGUGGUAUGCUGGCCCUAUUUAAUUUAUUUUAAAUGGAAAUAAAUAGUACAUAAUUACACACAUAUAUACAUGGCAGCUAUAGUACAUGAAUAAGUUCAUUUGUAAAAUCUUAUAUGUCUAAGAUUGUAAAAAGUUUUAGAAAUAGAAAUCUAAAAGUAGACUGUACCUAGAACACUAUUUUGUACAUCAGAAACAUUUGGGUUCAAUGAACAUGUGAGAAAUUAAAUCAAAUAUUCAUAGAGAACUCUAUGUGAUGGAGUAAAGAGCAAUAAAGCUUUGAGAUGCA